UUGUUGUGUGAAUUAUUUUGUAUUAGGCUCAAUGUUUACCUAAUAGUACUCUUUGAGGGGGAAAACGGAACUGGCCCGGUGGCAAAGGAGUGAUUUUCGGAUGGGCUUUCUUGGUGGCCCCCUUACAAGGACAAGGUCCAAAUUCUUAGAAAUGUCCAAAAGAGGCUUGUCCCACAACCAUUGAAGGGAUGGAAGCAGUACGCUGCACGCAUGCUCUUCGAAUCAGUCACAACAUGAAGUUGGAUGCAGGAAUUGGAGGCCAGACCAGUGACAUACUGCCAUCAAGGGCCAACUUUAUCAGAAUGUCCAAGAUCUCACCUUCCUAACACCAAUCAACUCAUCCCACCUAACUGCACUGCAGUUGAAAGGAUCCUCCUGGAACAGCUGGGGGAACUUCACCUCAAGGUGGCCAUUGUACAGUCACUCAGUGACAACAGAGUUCAAGACCAACAACCCGCAAGCAAUGAACACAACCAAAUCUCCACAUUAGAAAAGCUAAAUACAUUUGAUGAAAGACUUGGCCAGUACAGAGAUUUUAAGAAACGUGUGUUAUGUACUCUAAUACUUUGAGGGGCUACACAAAGGGGUAUCCAUAGCUUUAUUGUGUUGCAGUAUAAUUCUUAACAACCUUCAUGUGUUGUAGCCCAGCCUUUUUCUCGACUCAGUCCUCAGGGCCCACCAGUUAUUCCAGUGUUGGAAUACAUUAAAUAUAUGAAAUGGCUGGAAGUCCCUGGGGAAUGGGACAAGAAAUUCACCUUAUUCAACUUCAGUGGGGAGCUGAUUAGUUGAGUCAGUUGUUGGUGCUGGGCUGAAAAAAUCCAGACAAGAAAUGAUGAACUAAUGUGUUCUGAAAGUAACGGACAUAUUUGAAAGACAACAAGAUUUGCAUUGUCUGUAACACUCAAUGCUUUAAUGCCGUAUUUUCAUUACAGAUUGCAAAACUGUCCAUAACUGGGGGAAACUCUGUUAACCCUUGUGUUAUCUUCGGGUCAUUCUGACCCAUCAGCCGUGUGACCCACCGUCGUAUUGCGACAAAUUUACCUCAUACAAAAACAAAGUGAAGCAUUUUCUUUUAACCGUUGGGCUGUCUCAGACCCCCCACAUUGCAAAGGUUAAAAGAAAAUGAUUUUUAUUAGUUUUUGUAUUGGGUAAAACUGGGUAAACACAAUGAUGGUUCGUUAUGAACCUUUGGGUCAUGUGACCCGAAGGCAGCACAAGGGUUAAAAGAACAGUGUGCGGGAGGGUCUUCACACCUGAACUAGCCACCAAAUUAAAUUAGUGUGGGAGAGGACAGAAGACUGGCAUCAAGUCAAGACCAGUCAAGGAAAAUAUACUGUUGUCAGUUCUUAGAAAUGGAGUCCUGCCAAACAUGUCCGAAGCUGAAGUAGAGAAAUCCAUGCAAAAUUGGCUCAGG